rnacentral:rRNA from 1 species
UGUUGUUGGGUAGGGGAGCGUUCUGUAAGCCUGCGAAGGUGUACUGUGAGGUAUGCUGGAGGUAUCAGAAGUGCGAAUGCUGACAUAAGUAACGAUAAUAGCGGGUGAAAAACCCGCACGCCGGAAGACCAAGGGUUCCUGUCCAACGUUAAUCGGGGCAGGUGAGUCGACCCCUAAGGCGAGGCUGAAAAGCGUAGUCGAUGGGAAACGGGUUAAUAUUCCCGUACUGGUGGUAACUGCGAUGGGGGAACGGAGAAGGCUAGGUUGUCCGGGCGACGGUCGUCCCGGUUCAAGCAU